UACGAAGGGGGCUAGCGUUGCUCGGAAUGACUGGGCGUAAAGGGCGCGUAGGCGGAUGGCACAGUCAGAUGUGAAAUUCCUGGGCUUAACCUGGGGGCUGCAUUUGAUACGUGUGAUCUGGAGUGAGGAAGAGGGUUGUGGAAUUCCCAGUGUAGAGGUGAAAUUCGUAGAUAUUGGGAAGAGCACCGGUGGCGAAGGCGGCGACCUGGUCCUUAACUGACGCUGAGGCGCGAAAGCGUGGGGAGCAAACAGG
rnacentral:rRNA from 1 species